rnacentral:tRNA from 9 species
GGAGGCUUGCCCGAGCGGCCGAAGGGAACGGUCUUGAAAACCGUCGUGGCAGCGAUGUCACCGUGGGUUCAAAUCCCACAGCCUCCG